CGAUCAGAUGUUACCUGCAUCGUCUAGAAUCAAAAUGGGAAAACUACUAGUUCUCACUCUCCUCGUCUGUUUGGUUGCCCUGUCAUUCGGUAUUCCAAGUGGUGGGUGCCAUUAUGCACUUAAAACAUGUCAUGACUCGAAACCUUGUUGCGAUGGAUAUGAGUGUGAUUACAAAUACGGCCAAUGGGGUUGCUGCGAAAUAAUGUAUCCUCCUGGUUAAGACUGAGACAAUUGCGCCAGAUACUCGGGAAAUGACGAUGGAACAAACAGCUUUUCUUGAUUUAACGUUAUAUGUGUGAUUUGAGUAGUUUUCCUGCCUUAAAAUAAAGUCUUGUGUAAAACCUC